rnacentral:rRNA from 2 species
GGAUGCCUAGGCAGUCAGAGGCGAUGAAGGACGUACUAACUUGCGAUAAGCGUANAUGAGGCAGUAAGAGCCACUUGAGUCUACGAUUUCCGAAUGGGGAAACCCAGCUGCAUAAGCAGUUAUCUCAAUGUGAAUUCAUAGCAUUGUGAGGCGAACCGGGGGAACUGAAACAUCUAAGUACCCCGAGGAAGAGAAAUCAACCGAGAUUCCGGCAGUAGCGGCGAGCGAAACCGGAUUAGCCCUUAAGCUAAUCUUGCGUUAGGUGAACAUGCUGGAAAGCAUGGCAAUAAAGGGUGAUAGCCCCGUAACCAACAACGCUNUAUCAGUGAAAUCGAGUAGGACGGGACACGUGUNAUCCUGUCUGAAUAUGCGGGGACCAUCCUNCAAGGCUAAAUACUCCUGACUGACCGAUAGUGAAC